UACAGAGGUGGCAAGCGUUGUUCGGAAUUACUGGGCGUAAAGGGCGCGUAGGCGGCCAUCUAAGUCAGACGUGAAAUCCCCCGGCUUAACCUGGGAACUGCGUCUGAUACUGGAAGGCUCGAGUUUGGGAGAGGGAUGUGGAAUUCUUGGUGUAGCGGUGAAAUGCGUAGAUAUCAAGAGGAACACCUGCGGCGAAGGCGGGUUGCUGGGCCGACACUGACGCUGAGGCGCGAAAGCUAGGGGAGCGAACGGG
rnacentral:rRNA from 1 species